rnacentral:rRNA from 1 species
UGGCGGCGUGCCUAACACAUGACAAGUCGAACGGUGAUGAUCUGAUAGUUUCGGAUGGUAUUUCAUCAUAGUGGCGGACGGGUGAGUAACGCGUGGACUAACCUGCCUCGUACGUGGGGAAUAGCAGCUAGGAAACGGCUGGUAAUACCGCAUAAGCGCACGAUCGCCGCAGUGGCGAUGUGUGAAAAGAUUUAUCGGUACGAGAUGGAUCCGCGUCUGAUUAGCCAGUUGGCGGGGUAACGGCCCACCAAAGCGACGAUCAGUAGCCGGCCUGAGAGGGUGAACGGCCACAUUGGGACUGAGACACGGCCCAGACUCCUACGGGAGGCAGCAGUGGGGAAUAUUGCACAAUGGGCGAAAGCCUGAUGCAGCGACGCCGCGUUGAGUGAAGAAGUAUUUCGGUAUGUAAAGCUCUAUCAGCAGGGAAGAAAGGCCCGAAAGGGAGAUGACGGUACCUGACUAAGAAGCCCCGGCUAGCUACGUGCCAGCCGCUGC